rnacentral:lncRNA from 1 species
AUCAAGGCUCAGUCAGAUUUGUUGUCUAAUGAGGACCCGUUUCCUUAGAGAUGACACCUGCUAGCUAUGUCCCAGAAAGUGAAAGGGGCAAAUGAAUGGGUGCUAAUUCCAUUCAUUUGGGCUACACCACCAUGAGUGAGACACCUUCCUCCUGUCAUCCUUGGACAUCAGAACUCUCGGCUCUCUGGCCUUGGGAAUCCAGGACUGAAACCCACAGCCCCCAUAGUUCUCAGGCCUUCAGCCUCAAACUGAGAAUUACAUUAUUAGCUUCUUUGGUUCUGAAGCUUUUGAACUUAAACUGUGUGCAG